AUUGAACGCUGGCGGCAUGCUUUACACAUGCAAGUCGAACGGCAGCACGGGUGCUUGCACCUGGUGGCGAGUGGCGAACGGGUGAGUAAUACAUCGGAACGUGCCUGGUAGUGGGGGAUAACUGCUCGAAAGAGCAGCUAAUACCGCAUGAGAUCUAAGGAUGAAAGCAGGGGACCUUCGGGCCUUGUGCUACCAGAGCGGCUGAUGGCAGAUUAGGUAGUUGGUGGGGUAAAGGCUUACCAAGCCUGCGAUCUGUAGCUGGUCUGAGAGGACGACCAGCCACACUGGGACUGAGACACGGCCCAGACUCCUACGGGAGGCAGCAGUGGGGAAUUUUGGACAAUGGGCGCAAGCCUGAUCCAGCAAUGCCGCGUGCAGGAUGAAGGCCUUCGGGUUGUAAACUGCUUUUGUACGGAACGAAAAGCACCUCUCUAAUACAGAGGUGCGAUGACGGUACCGUAAGAAUAAGCACCGGCUAACUACGUG
rnacentral:rRNA from 1 species